UACGAAGGGGGCUAGCGUUGUUCGGAAUUACUGGGCGUAAAGGGCGCGCAGGCGGCCCCUCCAAGUCAGGCGUGAAAGCCCCCGGGCUCAACCCGGGAACAGCGCUUGAGACUGGGGGGCUUGAGUUCGGGAGAGGAGAGUGGAAUUCCCAGUGUAGAGGUGAAAUUCGUAGAUAUUGGGAAGAACACCGGUGGCGAAGGCGGCUCUCUGGACCGACACUGACGCUGAGGC
rnacentral:rRNA from 1 species